rnacentral:rRNA from 1 species
GACGAACGCUGGCGGCGUGCUUAACACAUGCAAGUCGAGCGAUGAAGUUUCUUCGGAAAUGGAUUAGCGGCGAACGGGUGAGGAACACGUGAAGAAUCUGCCCUCCACUUUGGGAUAACACCGGGAAACCGGUGCUAAUACCGAAUAUUGAAACAUAAGUGGCAUCACUGAGUUUUGAAAGAAUUUCGGUGGAGGAUGACUUCGCGGCCUAUCAGCUAGUUGGUGAGGUAAUGGCUCACCAAGGCAACGACGGGUAGCCGGCCUGAGAGGGCGACCGGCCACACUGGGACUGAGACACGGCCCAGACUCCUACGGGAGGCAGCAGUGGGGAAUAUUGGGCAAUGGAGGAAACUCUGACCCAGCGACGCCGCGUGCGGGAUGAAGGCCUUCGGGUUGUAAACCGCUUUCAGUAGGGAAGAAGCGAGAGUGACGGUACCUACAAAAGAAGCACCGGCUAACUAUGUGCCAGCAGCCGCGGUAAUACAUAGGGUGCAAGCGUUGUCCGGAAUUAUUGGGCGUAAAGAGCUCGUAGGUCGUUUGUUACGUCGGAUGUGAAAACCUGAGGCUCAACCUCAGGCCUGCAUUCGAUACGGGCAAACUAGAGUUUGGUAGGGGAGACUGGAAUUCCUGGUGUAGCGGUGGAAUGCGCAGAUAUCAGGAGGAACACCAAUGGCGAAGGCAGGUCUCUGGGCCAAUACUGACACUGAGGAGCGAAAGUCUGGGGAGCGAACAGGAUUAGAUACCCUGGUAGUCCAGACCGUAAACGGUGGGCACUAGUUGUGGGAACCUUCCACGGUUUCUGCGACGCAGCUAACGCAUUAAGUGCCCCGCCUGGGGAGUACGAUCGCAAGAUUA